CCUACGGGAGGCUGCAGUGGGGAAUAUUGCACAAUGGGGGAAACCCUGAUGCAGCAACGCCGCGUGAAGGAAGACGGUUUUCGGAUUGUAAACUUCUGUUCUUAGUGAAGAAUAAUGACGGUAGCUAAGGAGCAAGCCACGGCUAACUACGUGCCAGCAGCCGCGGUAAUACGUAGGUGGCAAGCGUUGUCCGGAAUUACUGGGUGUAAAGGGAGCGCAGGCGGGAAGCCAAGUCAGCUGUGAAAACUACGGGCUUAACUUGUAGACUGCAGUUGAAACUGGUUUUCUUGAGUGAAGUAGAGGUUGGCGGAAUUCCGAGUGUAGCGGUGAAAUGCGUAGAUAUUCGGAGGAACACCGGUGGCGAAGGCGGCUAACUGGGCUUUAACUGACGCUGAGGCUCGAAAGUGUGGGUAGCAAACAGGAUUAGAUACCCUUGUAGUC
rnacentral:rRNA from 1 species